UAAACAUUGAUAUUUACACCAACAUUCCGCCAGGGAACUACGAGUAUUUGCUUGAAACCCAAAGGACUUGGCGGUGCUUAACAUCCCUCUAGAGGAGCCUGUUCUAGAACCGAUAAUCCUCGUUUAACCUCACCUUUUUUUGCCCUCUCAGCCUAUAUACCGCCGUCGUCAGCUUACCUUAUGAAAGCCAAGUAGUGAGCAAAAAUGGCACAGCCUAAAACAUCAGGUCGAGGUGUAGCAUAUAAAAAGGGAAGAAAUGGGCUACGUUCUCUAUAUAUUGAGAACACGGACAAUAUAUUGAAACAUAUAUUUGAAGGAGGAUUUAGUAGUAAGUAGAAAUUAGAAAGUUCAACUGAAUUCGGCUCUAAAGCGCGUACACACCGCCCGUCACCCUCCCUAAAUCUUACAAUUUUUACAUAUUUAUAAUAAAACAUCCUAGUAAAAGGGAGGUAAGUCGUAACAUGGUAAGUGUACCGGAAGGUAUACUUGGAACAAUA
rnacentral:rRNA from 1 species